rnacentral:misc_RNA from 1 species
GAUUACCUCAAUUUCUUUUGCCUUGGUAAACGGGAAGAAAAUCCACAGCAGAUGUCCAGUACUAAUGGUGAAGCGAUCUCCGAUGCUUAUAAAUUUAAGCGGUUCAUGAUUUAUGUCCAUGCAAAGGGAAUGAUUGUGGAUGAUGAGUAUAUCAUUAUUGGAUCUGCGAAUAUUAACCAGAGAUCCAUGGCUGGUUCAAAAGACACUGAGAUAGCUAUGGGUGCAUAUCAACCCCAUUACAGUUGGGCUGCAAAGAAGAAACACCCACUUGGGCAGGUAUAUGGAUAUAGAAUGUCAUUGUGGGCUGAGCAUCUUGGUGAGGUCCAAGGAUUGUUCGCAGAGCCUGAGAGUUUGGAAUGCGUGAAGAAAGUAAAUAAUAUUGCUGAAGCCAACUGGAAGAGAUAUACAGAUCCGAAUUUCACAUUAUUGCAGGGCCAUCUUCUCAGGUAUCCUAUGCAGGUAGAUGCUGAUGGGAAGGUAGGCCUCCUACCUGGAUAUGAGAAUUUCCCGGAUGCAGGUGGUAAGGUGCUUGGAGCUCAUUCCAUCAAAGUUCCUGAUAUUUUAACAACGUAAUCUUGUCUUUCCCCAUCCCCUUGUGUUCAUAAAAAACCGAAUAUGUAUUGGAUGUUGCUGGGUUUCAUAGUAUGGCAGAUUCAAAGAGCAGUGCUUUGUUUGAUGUUUUUACUCAGAGCUGUAAUUUUGUGUGGUGUCCUAUUCUUGUGCAAAGUGUAAUAAGGAUGACGUGAAUAUUGUUGUGCAAAGUGUGACAAGGAUGACAUGUGGAUACUGGCCCGUACUGAAUGAAUGGUUUAUAGUAGGGGCGUGUACGAUUGGUUUGAAUUGGUUUACAGUACUUUUUGGUUUUAAUUUAAU